AACGAACGCUGGCGGCAUGCCUAACACAUGCAAGUCGAACGAGACCUUCGGGUCUAGUGGCGCACGGGUGCGUAACGCGUGGGAACCUGCCCUUAGGUUCGGAAUAACUCCCCGAAAGGGGUGCUAAUACCGGAUAAUGUCUUCGGACCAAAGAUUUAUCGCCUUUGGAUGGGCCCGCGUUGGAUUAGCUAGUUGGUAGGGUAAAAGCCUACCAAGGCGACGAUCCAUAGCUGGUCUGAGAGGAUGAUCAGCCACACUGGGACUGAGACACGGCCCAGACUCCUACAGGAGGCAGCAGUGGGGAAUAUUGGACAAUGGGCGAAAGCCUGAUCCAGCAAUGCCGCGUGAGUGAUGAAGGCCUUAGGGUUGUAAAGCUCUUUUACCCGGGAUGAUAAUGACAGUACCGGGAGAAUAAGCUCCGGCUAACUCCGUG
rnacentral:rRNA from 1 species